AGAUUGAACGCUGGCGGCAUGCCUUACACAUGCAAGUCGAACGGUAGAGGGAGCAAUCCUUCGAGAGUGGCGAACGGGUGAGUAAUAUAUCGGAACGUGCCCAGUCGUGGGGGAUAACGUAGAGAAAUUUACGCUAAUACCGCAUACGAUCUAAGGAUGAAAGCGGGGGACCUCGCAAGGGGCCUCGCGCGAUUGGAGCGGCUGAUAUCAGAUUAGGUUGUUGGUGAGGUAAAAAGCUCACCAAGCCGACGAUCUGUAGCUGGUUUGAGAGAACGACCAGCCACACUGGGACUGAGACACGGCCCAGACUCCUACGGGAGGCAGCAGUGGGGAAUUUUGGACAAUGGGCGAAAGCCUGAUCCAGCAAUGCCGCGUGCAGGAAGAAGGCCUCGGUUGUAAACUGCUUUAGUUACGGAACGAAAAGGACGUUAGCCUUAAUACGGACGAGACCCAUAGACGGUACGUAACGAAUAAAGCAACCGGCUAACUAACGUACGACCAGCAGCCGACGGUAAUACG
rnacentral:rRNA from 1 species